GAAGGGGCGCCGGGCUCGGUCCGAGCCCCCGGCCCGCGUUCGGUGCUAGGCCCGGAUCGCAUCCCCGGCGUGGCGCGGCCGGGCCCGCCGGCGGCCUUACCGCCUCCACGGCGUGCUGCAGGAUGGAGGUGAACUUGGAGAACAUCCUGUCCCGCGACUGCAGCAGCCGCUGCCGGGAGGACCUCGAGAGCUCCUCGAUCCGCCGCCGCCGCCGCUCCAGGAGAGAAGGAGACAAAGAGGGCUUUAUUUCACCUCGGAAUCAAAUACUUCAGGAAAAAAGACCAUCCCUCCCAUUUUGCGGUGCCACAGGAAAAGCAGAGGCAUGGAGAGCUACAGCCCAAAUACUCUAUGGAAAUAAAUACUAGUUGUAUGUGGAUACCUUUAUUGCAGUUGUUAAAGGAGCAGAGCUGUUUCCUUCUCCAAAUCCAGGAGUCCCAGUAUGUCAAUAUCAAUUUGAAAGAAGAAGUUCCUCCAGUCUGGACUUUUGCUUCAGAGACCCUGAAGAUUUGUUGAAUUUUUUUACCCUA